UUUAUGCUGCAUUGGAGACAUAGAUACAGAGAUACUCUCCAGUGUUCUUGCCACGAUGGAGGUGCUUAGCUGGUAAUGUUAAGAAGGAAGAAAGCACAGAAGCAGGCGUUCGUCUUUGUUGUAGAGCACGGCAGUCAUCCACUGCUAGCUGCAAGAGGCGAUCAGGGACGAAGUUUCAGUUCAUGAUACUUCAUGAUACAGAAUGUACUCUCAGAAAAAGAAUUCCCUGUGACUUCAGUCUACUGUCCAUAAAAUACUCUUUCCUCUUUCACUCUGCCUCCGGUGCCACACAAAGACCUGGCGGAGACUCCCACCUCCUUCUUCGGGGAGAAGAAAGGCGGAGGCGGCGUCGGAGCAAGA